UACGAAGGGGGCUAGCGUUGCUCGGAAUCACUGGGCGUAAAGCGCACGUAGGCGGCUUUUUUAAGUCAGAGGUGAAAUCCUGGAGCUCAACUCCAGAACUGCCUUUGAUACUGAGGAUCUUGAGUUCGGGAGAGGUGAGUGGAACUGCGAGUGUAGAGGUGAAAAUUCGUAGAUAUUCGCAAGAACACCAGUGGCGAAGGCGGCUCACUGGCUCGAUACUGACGCUGAGGUGCGAAAGCGUGGGGAGCAAACAGG
rnacentral:rRNA from 1 species